rnacentral:tRNA from 1 species
GCCCUCAUAGCUUAGUUGGUAGAGUAUCCGAACGGUAUCGGAAGGUCUUGUGUUCGAAUCCCAAUGGGGGCA